CGACAGCCGUCAUCUACGGGGUAAGAGCCCAGCAGUGCAUCUUCCUGAUCCAGCUUGCUGUAGAACUUGUCGUCAGGUCCAUACAGUUCCAGUUCCAUGCAAGAAGCAGGGCAGCCCACAAUCAGCUGUAGUUUACCCUUGAACUCCAGCUCUGGAGCCAGGCUUCCAGGGUCAAUCUCACCUCCUCUAAUUCCUAGCUGUGUGACCCUAGACAAGUUACUUAACCUCUCUGGGCCUCAUUUCCCUAUCUAUGAAAUAACAGGGGAUAUGAAAAACCCAUACAGCAAUGAAGAUUAAAUGAAAACCCACACAGAGUAAGUGUGCUGUGACUAUCUGUUGGAUGUAAUUCCAACUGUAAUAUGCACUGAGGAGGGGAAGCUUGGGGGCCUGAGAAAGCACAACCAGAUGCCCUGACUUGGUCUGGAGGGCCGGGGACGACGGCAGGGAGGAUUUCCCAGAGGAGCUGACAUUUAGGCUUUGAUUUGAGGCCUGACAUUGUUCCUAAAAUAAAUGUCUCAACUUGGGGUUUAGGGUUCUGCUGCCAGCUUCCAACACACUAGCUCCUGGCCAACCCUUCCCCAACAUUAAUGAUCCCUCGUUCAAUCCUAACUUCAUCUUGGUCCCUCUCUCUCCCUCACAUCUAACUGUUUGGCUCCACCUUUAAAAUCCAUCCAGAAUCCAACCCUUUCUCACCCCAGGUCCAGCCUCCAACCUCUCCUGCCUGGAUUAUCACUGCGGUCUCCUCCCUGGUCCCCUUGGCUUGUCCCUUAGGGCCUGUUUCCCACAGGCAGCCCCAGGGACCAGUUCACUCCUGAGUUAGAACAUGGCCUUCCUCAGCCCAGAGCCCUCCAUCCAGUGCACCUCACUCAGCGCUACCCGGGAGAAAGUAAGAGGAGGAGGACGACGAGGGGUGUGGAGGGCCCCUCACCACCAGCCCCACUGCCUUCCCUAGCCCUCCUCCCACCUCAUUCACCUCAGCCCAGGCCCCCGGCCUCCCUGCACCUCCUUGACCACGCUAAACUAAGCACAACCCUGCCUCGUGGCCUUUGCCCUUACAGACUGGUCUCUCUGCCUGGACCAUUGCUUCCUAGGAUCUGCAUUUCUCACUUGCUCCCACUCUGUUCAAAUAUGAUCUUCCAAGUGAAGCCUCUGCUUUUUACUCUAAAAUUGUUACUCCUCCCCCAUCACUUCCUUCUCAACUUGUUUUCCCUCCAUAGCAGCAAUUAUCAGUUCCCCAAAACCAUACAGUUGACC